AGUGAACGCUGGCGGUAGGCCUAACACAUGCAAGUCGAACGGCAGCACAGUAAGAGCUUGCUCUUACGGGUGGCGAGUGGCGGACGGGUGAGGAAUACAUCGGAAUCUACUUUUUCGUGGGGGAUAACGUAGGGAAACUUACGCUAAUACCGCAUACGACCUACGGGUGAAAGCAGGGGAUCUUCGGACCUUGCGCGAUUGAAUGAGCCGAUGUCGGAUUAGCUAGUUGGCGGGGUAAAGGCCCACCAAGGCGACGAUCCGUAGCUGGUCUGAGAGGAUGAUCAGCCACACUGGAACUGAGACACGGUCCAGACUCCUACGGGAGGCAGCAGUGUGGAAUAUUGGACAAUGGGCGCAAGCCUGAUCCAGCCAUACCGCGUGGGUGAAGAAGGCCUUCGGGUUGUAAAGCCCUUUUGUUGGGAAAGAAAAGCAGCAGGUUAAUACCCCGCUGUUCUGACGGUACCCAAAGAAUAAGCACCGGCUAAUUUCGUG
rnacentral:rRNA from 1 species